CUUAUAUUUGGGUGGGGUAAUUUCACUAAUGCAUUCCUUAAUAUUAUUUUUCUUCAAAAUAGGCUAUAAAAGCUACAGAUCUACAACAUUAGAAUUUAAAUAACAUAUUCAGAACAAAAAGAAGCCAAACCAGGAGAGAAAAACUCACUUGUAUAUGUGACAUUGACAAAGCUCACAGGAUCACUCAGGUCUUGAGUACUGGUGUCUUGUUUAGUUUUGAGACGCGUCUGAAGCAGAGUGUUGGCCACCUCAAGAACCUUCUCUGGAUUUGGCAGGGGGCCCAGUGUGACAAACACGAGGCGAAUGAAUAUAAGCGCUUUGCCACGCCUACAAAGACAAUAAAUAAUAUAUAUUAAGGUUUGAAAUGAAAAUAAUAAUAAUAAAAAAAGAAGUAAAUACCAGACUGAAAUCAUUGAACUUACACUAUCAGUGGAGUAGUUGUCAGAGUGCUGGCUGUCGUUAAGACUGUAAAAGAAAGUAAUGAUUAAUGGAAGAGGCUUGCAUUUACAACAUUUGCAAUCAGUUGACAGUUUUGACAAACCUGUCUGUGAACGAAGCUCAUUGAGGAAGCUGACUGGUUGUAUGACAUCUCCAUCCUGGAAGGUGUAUUCCAUUCUGCCAUCAAUCUGGUUUGAAGUGCUUCUACAAGACAAACAAUAGAUAUUUGUUAGGGACUUUAAACCACAUCUUGAAAAAGUAUUUUUUCUUUUUAUUUGUUUAUUUUUUUUAUUUAUUUUUUACUUUACAAAGCUUCAAUAAGCUAAAAUGUUAGGACACAUGAAAUAAACACUGUGAAGUGAGUUCGCAUCUUACGUGAAGUUUGAUGACUUUGGUUGAAAAGUUGGACUUCCAGGUUCAUUCAGAAGAGUGUUCAGCUGCAGGGGAAAAAUCAAACCAUUCAUCAAUUUCUCGUGAAGACUGGCGUUGAACCUAAGAUGUAUUACACUGUUCAUUUUUUAAAUUUACCGCAUUAUUGAUGGUAUCCUGCACUUUCUGGUUGGUGUUGCCUCUAGACACAGGGUCCUCUGGCAUGCUGAUGUUAAUCACGUUAAAUGUAAAGACCACAGCAUAGGAGGUUUCUGAGAUUUCUGUUUGGAUGGAAAUGGUAAUUUUAAGAAUUUCCAAAACCUGUAAUACAUCAUUGUUUGACUCAAUCUCAUUUUAAAACUUUCCAAGUGAAAAUGAUGACACUUACUCUCAUAGGUGACAUUCACCACCUUCACCAAUUCAUUGAGCUGUGACUCUCUGAAAUUACGCAGAGUUUUGAUUGCAUUGAGGACUAGAGAUUCACUGGGGACUGGAGAUGAGGAGUUGAACACCAGCUUGCUUGUGACCACUGCUGAACCAGAUCUGCAUAUAUGACCAUUUUUGUUUAAUUUAUAUUAAUUUUCUUGCAAUAAAAUCAUGACUUCUGCAUUUUUUAAUUUUAUUAAAAAUAGAAAAAAACAAAAUUUACAUGAGGUUUGGAGUAGUAACAGAAACACUGGUUGUUGUUUCUGGAAACACUGUUGUAGUGGUUGGUAGACGUAGCUCAUUGAGGAAGCUGACUGGUUGUAUGACAUCUCCAUCCUGGAAGCUGUAUUCCAUCCUGCCAUCAAUCUGGUUUGAAGUGCUUCUACAAGACAAACAAUAGAUAUUUGUUAGGUACUUUAAUCCACAUCUUGAAAAAGUUUUUCUUUUAUUUUUUUUUUUUAUUACUAAUCCUAAUUUUUUUUUGUAACUUUACGUAGCUUCAAUGAGCUAAAAUAAGAGGACACAUGAAGUAAAGACUGUGAAGCGAGUUCGCAUCUUACGUGAAGUUGGAGGACUUUGGUUGUAAAGUUGGACUUCCAGGUUCAUUCAGAAGAGUGUUUAGCUGCAGGAGAAAAAUCAAACCAUUCAUCAGUUUCUCGUAAAGACUGGAAUUGAACCUAAGAUGUAUUACACUGUUCAUUUUUGAAGUUUACCGCAUUAUUGAUGGUAUCCUGCACUUUCUGGUUGGUGUUGCCUCUAGACACAGGGUCCUCUGGCAUGCUGAUGUUAAUCACGUUAAAUGUAAAGACCACAGCAUAGGAGGUUUCUGAGAUUUCUGUUUGGAUGGAAAUGGUAAUUUUACAUCAUUGUUGGACUCAAUCUCGUUUCAAAACUUUCCAAGUGAAAAUGAUGACACUUACUCUCAUAGGUGACAUUCACCACCUUCACCGAUUCAUUGAGCUGUGACUCUCUGGAAUUACGCAGAGUUUUGAUUGAAUUGAGGACCAGAGAUUCACUGGGGACUGGAGAUGAGGAGUUGAACACCAGCUUGCUUGUGACCACUGCUGAACCAGAUCUGUAAAUAUAAAAACUUUGUUUAAUGAACAUCCAAUUUUUGCAAUAAAAUUCCUUCUCUAAUUUUGAUUGUUGUCAAAAUAGAAAACCAACACUUACAUGAGGUUUGAAGGAGUCACAGAGAAACCAAAUGUUGUUUCGGGAAACACUGUUGUAGUGGUUGGUAGACGUAGCUCAUUGAGGAAGCUGACUGGUUGUAUGACAUCUCCAUCCUGGAAGCUGUAUUCCAUCCUGCCAUCAAUCUGGUUUGAAGUGCUUCUACAAGACAAACAAUAGAUAUUUGUUAAGGACUUUAAUCCACAUCUUGAAAAAGUUUUUUUUUUUUUUUUUUUAUUACAAAUCCUAAUUUUUUUUUGUAACUUUACGUAGCUUCAAUGAGCUAAAAUAAGAGGACACAUGAAGUAAAGACUGUGAAGCGAGUUCGCAUCUUACGUGAAGUUGGAGGACUUUGGUUGUAAAGUUGGACUUCCAGGUUCAUUCAGAAGAGUGUUCAGCUGCAGGAGAAAAAUCAAACCAUUCAUCAGUUUCUCGUAAAGACUGGAAUUGAACCUAAGAUGUAUUACACUGUUCAUUUUUGAAGUUUACCGCAUUAUUGAUGGUAUCCUGCACUUUCUGGUUGGUGUUGCCUCUAGACACAGGGUCCUCUGGCAUGCUGAUGUUAAUCACGUUAAAUGUAAAGACCACAGCAUAGGAGGUUUCUGAGAUUUCUGUUUGGAUGGAAAUGGUAAUUUUAAGAAUUUCCAAAAGCCUGUAAUACAUCAUUGUUUGACUCAAUCUCAU
ensembl:lncRNA